rnacentral:misc_RNA from 1 species
AACGCACCUUGCGCUCCUUGGUAUUCCGAGGAGCAUGCCUGUUUGAGUGUCAUUAAAUUCUCAACCCCGAACCUUUUGGUUUCGGGGCUUGGACUUGGAGCGUGCUGGCCUUCCGGGGUCGGCUCCUCUCAAAUGCAUCAGCGGAAUCUAACCUUUGGUUUCCGGAAGUCGGUGUGAUAAUCAUGUUGCGCCGUCGUUCGACCUCAAAGUCCGCUUACAAUGGUCUUUGGACAACUUAUCAAAUUUGACCUCAAAUCAGGUAGGACUACCCGCUGAACUUAA